GGGCCAGUGGCGCAAUGGAUAACGCGUCUGACUACGGACCAGAAGAUUCUAGGUUCAACUCCUAGCUGGCUCG
rnacentral:tRNA from 2 species